rnacentral:rRNA from 1 species
AAUGAACGCUGGCGGCAUGCCUAACACAUGCAAGUCGAACGAAGGCUUCGGCCUUAGUGGCGCACGGGUGCGUAACGCGUGGGAAUCUGCCCUUGGGUUCGGAAUAACAGUUAGAAAUGACUGCUAAUACCGGAUGAUGACGUAAGUCCAAAGAUUUAUCGCCCAAGGAUGAGCCCGCGUAGGAUUAGCUAGUUGGUGGGGUAAAAGCCCACCAAGGCGACGAUCCUUAGCUGGUCUGAGAGGAUGAUCAGCCACACUGGGACUGAGACACGGCCCAGACUCCUACGGGAGGCAGCAGUGGGGAAUAUUGGACAAUGGGCGAAAGCCUGAUCCAGCAAUGCCGCGUGAGUGAUGAAGGCCUCAGGGUUGUAAAGCUCUUUUACCCGGGAUGAUAACGACAGUACCGGGAGAAUAAGCUCCGGCUAACUUCGUGCCAGCCGCCGCCGUAAAAC